CCUACGGGAGGCUGCAGUGGGGAAUAUUGGGCAAUGGAGGCAACUCUUACCCAGCAAUGCCGCGUGAAUGAAGACGGCCCUCGGAUUGUAAAGUUCUUUAAUUGGGGACGAAAAAAAUGACGGUACCCAAGGAAUAAGCCCCGGCUAACUACGUGCCAGCAGCCGCGGUAAUACGUAGGGGGCAAGCGUUUUUCGGAAUGACUGGGCGUAAAGGGUGUGUAGGCGGUGUAGCAAGGUAGAAGUGAAAUACCUAGGGCUUAACUCAGGUGCUGCUUCUAAAACUGCUAUAAUUGAGUGCAGUAAGGGAAAGUGGGAUUCCUAGUGUAGCGGUGGAAUGCGUAGAUAUUAAGAAGAA
rnacentral:rRNA from 1 species